GACGAACGCUGGCGGCGUGCCUAAUACAUGCAAGUUGAGCGCUGAAGGUUGGUACUUGUACCCACUGGAUGAGCAGCUAACGGGUGAGUAACGCGUGGGUAAUCUUCCUUUGAUCGGUGGACAACAUUUUGAAACGACUGCUAAUACCGCAUAAAAACUUUAAACACAAGUUUUAAGUUUUAAAGAUGCAUUUGCAUCACUCAAAGAUGAUCCCGCGUUGUAUUAGCUAGUUGGUGAGGUAAAGGCUCACCAAGGCGAUGAUACAUAGCCGAACUGAGAGGGAGAUUGGGCAAAUCGGGAAUGAGACACGGCCCAAACUCCUACGGGAGGAAGAAGUAGGGAAUAUUCGGAAAGGGAGGAAAGGCUGAACGAGCAAAGCCGCGGGAGUGAAGAAGGUUUUCGGAGCGGAAAACUCUGUUGGUAGAGAAGAAAGUUGGGGAGAGUGGAAAGCUCAUCAAGUGACGGUAACUAACCAGAAAGGGACGGCUAACUACGUG
rnacentral:rRNA from 1 species